GUGAAUCAUCGAAUUUUUGAACGCAAAUUGCACUCUCCUCGGAGACGAUGCCUGUUUGAGGGUCAGCCUAUAAAAAAUCGACAUCGUUGCUGUUUCGCGGUGUCGUUCGUCGGAAAUUGGGCCAUCUUAAAUCCUUUUGGUUUUUAGCAGACUUAAAAUUAUCAUUUUGGUUCCAUGAACGCUUCUAAGAUUUAU
rnacentral:misc_RNA from 1 species